rnacentral:tRNA from 1 species
GCGGGUGUAGUUUAGUGGUAAAACUACAGCCUUCCAAGCUGUUGUCGCGAGUUCGAUUCCCGUAACCCGCG